rnacentral:tRNA from 1 species
GAUUCCUUGGCCCAGUGGAUAAGGUGUCGGUCUACGAAAUCAAAAAUUCUGGGUUAGAUCCCCAAUGGAGUCG